rnacentral:lncRNA from 1 species
AGUAGUUAGGAUGGCUGAAGGGGAUACUCACCGGCUGAAGGCCGACUGUGAUUCCCCCUACCCCCACAAGGCGAUUUUGACCCCCUGAGGGCUGCUCUAGAGGACUCAGGCCCCGAAGCUGUCCCAGGGAGGUCCCCGCUGCAUCCCACCACCCAAGCUGUGCCUCAUGGAGUCGAUGUUUAGCAGCCCUGCCGAGGCGGCGCUGCAGCGAGAGACCGGGGUGCCAGGACUGCUUACUCCUCUUCCGGACCUGGACGGAGUGUUGCCUUGCAGUUCCCUGACCAGCUAUUGGGAGAUGCUGUGGCUGUGGCUGCACGACUGGAGGAGACGACAGGGUCAAAGAUGUUCAUUCUGGGUGACACAGCCUACGGCAGGUGUGAACUUGGCCUUAGGUGGGCCAGGCCUGGGGAUCCGGGGCUCAUGGGGUUUUACGUCUAUGACAGUGAUUGCCUUCAAUGGUGGUGUUUCUCCUUGAUGAUAAUGGUAAUGACUCCCCUUCUGAUGCUAGCUCCUUUCAUUGACAAUGUCUUCCUUUAAUGAAACCAUUUUAUUCACUGACCACAUUUCCCAGUGAUGACAGCAACUCGCCU